rnacentral:rRNA from 1 species
AGUGAACGCUGGCGGCAGGCCUAACACAUGCAAGUCGAGCGGCAGCGCGUCCGACCACCCUCGGGUGGUCGGAUGGCGGCGAGCGGCGGACGGGUGAGGAAUGCAUCGGAAUCUGCCUCGUUGUGGGGGAUAACGUAGGGAAACUUACGCUAAUACCGCAUACGACCUACGGGUGAAAGUGGGGGACCUUCGGGCCUCACGCGAUGAGAUGAGCCGAUGCCGGAUUAGCUAGUUGGCGGGGUAAAGGCCACCAAGGCGACGAUCCGUAGCUGGUCUGAGAGGAUGAUCAGCCACACUGGAACUGAGACACGGUCCAGACUCCUACGGGAGGCAGCAGUGGGGAAUAUUGGACAAUGGGGGCAACCCUGAUCCAGCCAUGCCGCGUGAGUGAAGAAGGCCCUCGGGUUGUAAAGCUCUUUGUCCGGAAAGAAAGCACUGGGUUAAUACCCCGGUGUCCUGACGGUACCGGAAGAAUAAGCACCGGCUAACUUCGUGCCAGCAG